UACAGAGGUCCCAAGCGUUGUUCGGAUUCACUGGGCGUAAAGGGUGCGUAGGCGGUCGGGUAAGUCUGACGUGAAAUCUUCAAGCUUAACUUGGAAACUGCGUCGGAUACUAUUCGGCUGGAGGAAUGGAGGGGAGACUGGAAUACUUGGUGUAGCAGUGAAAUGCGUAGAUAUCAAGUGGAACACCAGUGGCGAAGGCGAGUCUCUGGGCCGAUACUGACGCUGAGGAGCGAAAGCGUGGGGAGCGAACAGG
rnacentral:rRNA from 1 species